rnacentral:lncRNA from 1 species
UUUUUUCUUCCAAAAAAAGUAGCUAGCAAAGUGCUAUGCUACCAGAAAAAUAUAUUAAAAGAUGGAGAAACAGAAAGCGGAGGGGGAUCAAACCAAGACCUCCCUAGUAAUUUACAAACCUAUAAUUAGGUAACCCUAAUUUUUUUUGCCCAAAAGAAGAAUUAAUACAAGAAGGUUUCUCCAACCAAACUAUAGGCACAUCAGAGUUUAACCCUACAUUAGCUAAAAUAUCAGCACACUGAUUUCCUUCCCUAAAAAUGUGAGAUACAAUAAAGUUCAUGGAGAGGACAGUAUGUAGGCAG